GUUGGUGAACCAGCGGAUGGAUCAUUAACAAUAGUAUUUAUACUAAUUUAACACUUGUGAACAGAAUGGGACUAAUCCUCUCAAUUUAUUAUUAUUUUUAUACUGAAUACAUGAUAUAUAACAAUCAUAAAACUUUUAGCAACGGAUCUCUAGGCUCUC
rnacentral:misc_RNA from 1 species